rnacentral:rRNA from 1 species
AAGAUGUAACGGGGCUAAACCAUGCACCGAAGCUGCGGCAGCGACACUGUGUGUUGUUGGGUAGGGGAGCGUUCUGUAAGCCUGUGAAGGUGUGUCGUGAGGCAUGCUGGAGGUAUCAGAAGUGCGAAUGCUGACAUAAGUAACGAUAAAGCGGGUGAAAAGCCCGCUCGCCGGAAGACCAAGGGUUCCUGUCCAACGUUAAUCGGGGCAGGGUGAGUCGACCCCUAAGGCGAGGCCGAAAGGCGUAGUCGAUGGGAAACGGGUUAAUAUUCCCGUACUUGGUGUUACUGCGAAGGGGGGACGGAGAAGGCUAUGUUGGCCGGGCGACGGUUGUCCCGGUUUAAGCGUGUAGGUGUGUGUUCCAGGUAAAUCCGGUUCACUUUAACACUGAGGCGUGACGACGAGGCACUACGGUGCUGAAGCAACAAAUGCCCUGCUUCCAGGAAAAGCCUCUAAGCAUCAGGUAACAUCAAAUCGUACCCCAAACCGACACAGGUGGUCAGGUAGAGAAUACCAAGGCGCUUGAGAGAACUCGGGUGAAGGAACUAGGCAAAAUGGUGCCGUAACUUCGGGAGAAGGCACGCUGACACGUAGGUGAAGUGAUUUACUCAUGGAGCUGAAGUCAGUCGAAGAUACCAGCUGGCUGCAACUGUUUAUUAAAAACACAGCACUGUGCAAACACGAAAGUGGACGUAUACGGUGUGACGCCUGCCCGGUGCCGGAAGGUUAAUUGAUGGGGUCAGCGCAAGCGAAGCUCCUGAUCGAAGCCCCGGUAAACGGCGGCCGUAACUAUAACGGUCCUAAGGUAGCGAAAUUCCUUGUCGGGUAAGUUCCGACCUGCACGAAUGGCGUAAUGAUGGCCAGGCUGUCUCCACCCGAGACUCAGUGAAAUUGAACUCGCUGUGAAGAUGCAGUGUACCCGCGGCAAGACGGAAAGACCCCGUGAACCUUUACUAUAGCUUGACACUGAACAUUGAGCCUUGAUGUGUAGGAUAGGUGGGAGGCUUUGAAGUGUGGACGCCAGUCUGCAUGGAGCCGACCUUGAAAUACCACCCUUUAAUGUUUGAUGUUCUAACGUGGACCCGUUACCCGGGUUGCGGACAGUGUCUGGUGGGUAGUUUGACUGGGGCGGUCUCCUCCUAAAGAGUAACGGAGGAGCACGAAGGUUGGCUAAUCCUGGUCGGACAUCAGGAG